GAUGAAGAACGCAGCUAAAUGCGAUAAGUAAUGCGAAUUGCAGAAUUCAGUGAGUCAUCGAAUCUUUGAACGCACAUUGCGCCCUGUGGUAUUCCGCAGGGCAUGCCUGUUCGAGCGUCAUUUCAACCCUCAAGCCUCGCUUGGUGUUGGGCCCUGCCCGCCGCGGCCGGCCCUAAAGAUAGUGGCGGCGCCGCCUGGCCCUCAGCGUAGUACAGCUCUCGCUCCAGGGUCCGGCGGUAGCCUGCCAGAACCCCCCAACUCUGUGGUUGACCUCGGAUCAGGUAGGGAUACCCGCUGAACUUAAGCAUAUCAAUAAGCGGAGGA
rnacentral:misc_RNA from 1 species